GGGGGGGGGGUUAGGAAUGAAAACCCACGAUACAUCACAGUGUUGAAUAAAAGACAAAAAGGCCGUCAAUAUCCACUCGUAAUGCCAACGGGGGGGGCGGAGGUUUGACUUUGGCUUUCCUUCCCUGAUUUCCCCCUUGGGACGACUGAUCUCAUCUAAUCUAAUCCAAGAAGGAAGAGGACGGGAGAGGACAGGAGAAUGGUGGAAGAAGACAGAGGACGAGGAGGCGAGUGGAGCCCAUUAGCAUUUGUAUUACCUCAUUCUCUUGCCAGGCGAAUCUCGCUCGCGCCGGUUAAAGUCUGCACACUAUGGUGGAUUCACAGCGUUAUUAUUACCAAGGAUGGGGAACCGUUUCUACCCCUAUUGGAAAGUGAUACCUGGUAUCUGGCACAAACACACACACAGACAGACACGAAGUGCAAGGGGAAAAGUCCUGUGGAAAAUAGCAGGUUCCAUUUAAGCCUGGUUGAGUUCAUAAAGCUAUUAAACUUCUGAUGACUUAUUUCAGACACACAGAUUCGGGCACACGCCUCAAACGGCAUAGAAAUGCACACGCGCACGCAUACUCCAAGGUUUUAGCAUUGAAACCUGAAUGAAGUACUGAUCUGCUUUUAGCCCCGAGAAACGCGCUGCAGAAAGUAUUUAGCUCCCUCACACAAUAAGACCUCAUUACACACAGGACCACAGGCCGUGUGUGUGUCUGUGUUCCACCAUCACACUGCUUUAAUUAGAGGCAGCUCUCUAUGCGCUUUAGGUGGUUGCAAGACACAGAGCGAGGCAGUAAUGCACACACACACACACACACACACACACACACUACAGCGUGCACACUGUCGAUGAUACAUGUAAUGUAGUUUGACUGAUACGGAUGCACAUAGGAAUAAAUGCUCCCUAUGCAAAGAACUGUACUUUGUAAUGUGUGUGUGUGUGUUGUACGCAGAGGGUCUCAGUGCCCUGUAGUUGUGUGUAGAGCUGUUUUAUUCUGUGAUGCUGCAGCACAGCUGGGAAGCCUGUGUGAAGUAUAAGCAUCCGUCCUUUCCGGGGGGGGGCAAUGCACCGCAUGAUGGAAACCUCUCAGAAUAAUUGAUACCGUAAACGAUUACACUCUGCGGACAUUAAGUGAGGCUUGCUUCUUCCCUCCCCGACGCUCCUUUCGCAUCUCGUAUCACGUCUCCGUCUCGCUCGCCACGUCAGCCGGCGUUCGGUCGGCGCGUUGCUUCCCCUCCGCUGCGUCGUGAACAUCGGGAGGAUUCAACAGUUUGAAAUUUGUUCUUUGUUGCUUGAAAAAGAGCUGAUGUCGCGUCUCAGACAAUUUAUAUUUAUCUGGAGCACACCUUCAACAAACUAUAAUUUAUAUGUAAAUAUCCUUCCUAACAUACUUGAAUUUAUCGUCGACAUCAACAGAAAUAAAUCUAAUGUUGAAGAAGAAGUCAUUUCAAAUGGUGUCACACCUUUUAUUGACUGUCAUAUUAGCCUAGCAGUCAUUAUAGGAAUCCCAAAGGUCAUUUUACGCGCUUCAGAUUGUAAAUAGUGAACGUAUCAGUCCUGAGGCAACAGCAGUCAUCAUCUCUGCAUGGCAAUAAGGUUCACUGUGCAUCCCUGCAGUUAUCGCCUCAUCAAUACUUAAUUCCACAUAGGAACCCUCAAAAGGCACGUCUGACAUGGCGUCAUGCUGCUCCGGCUUCAUCUGCUGACCCCGAACAUGUUCAGCACGUCUCAUUAGACUGAUACAUACGCAUGCGUAAUUGCAUGUUUUAUUAAGUUAUUUACAAUGUGAUUUACAAUGUACAAAGUUUGUAUAAGGACACAUCAUAUAUGCGUACUUCAACUUCAAGACAGUCAUCAUCAUUAAAAGGAUCAUUUAUAUCGAAAUACGACCUAGUUUUCAGUCAGAUCGAGUUCAAAGGAUAACGUGUCUUCUGUCUUCCAUUUCCCUGCAUCCACAUGACCGCAGCUUAAUUAGACCAUUUUAAUUGUUUAUGGUUAAAUAAUAUUCUGAUGAAUCUCCUUCAUGCAUUCAUCCUUUUGCAACCGAAUCACAGCUGUUUGAAUUAGCAGAGCUGCUUUGACGGUCCAAGGACGCACCACGACAACAUGUCAGCGUUUAUCUUCAGUCUCUGCGAUGCAGCAGCGAGUUGUGCACGAGGCCUUGGCGGCAGCUAUGACCCCUCUACGUGAAGUCUAGGCCUUUAACGUUGUUUGCUUUUUCUCACAAACGAGUAAAUGCGUUUCGUGGAGCCGUCGUCGGCUCAAGGAUCCUUGGUGCCAUGCGAGUGUGCACGGGCAACGUGCUGGAGCGCCGCCCAAAGUUCAAAUUCUAUAAGGAGCCAUUCAUGCCCGUUAUACCAUCUCAAGAGAGUUGUUCUGCGCACUGUGGCUGAAGGUCUCACAUUGAGCGCGUUCAGUGUGUGAACAAAACACCCUCUCGAUUUGCAUUCAAAGGCAAUGUCAUACACGCAUAAUGCCUUCAACACUCAAUUCUUCCUCGGUCCUCCUGCAGUAGCUCCACUAGGCCUCUAUCCUGAAUAGUGACACCAUUUGAGUCAACUGGAAUGGUCGAAUAAAGUGUUGAAGAAAAGGGAAUAAACUUUUGGGUUUCCUCUGUUGUUAUUAUUAUUAUUAAGAAGUCUCUCUCCCUCAUUCUCAUAUCGACCACAUUACCUGUAAAGGUCCUCCUCUUCUGUUCUGUCCACAUCAUUAUCUGAUCUAUGCGAGCAAUAAGUGAUUCAUGACUCCACGAGGAAGACGUUUUCUGCAGGACAAUGCAAACCCCCUGUUAAAGAAUCAACAGCUGGGGGGGGGCGUCUUAUGUGCACCGACUUUGUGCAUCCCAUCCCCUUCACUCUCGUGUGGAACUCUCUGUGUGGAGAAAUGGACGGAGUUCACCGUCAAACUUCUCCUCUUCCGUCCCUCCCACCUCAUCAAGUGGCCAUUACGCAGCGAAGGCUCAGGAUGGUGUUUUUUGGGCGUAAUCGUGCAGAUAUCGAGCGCGUUGGGAGGCUAACGCUUUUCUUGCGUUCCUCCCACAUCAUCAGUUCGUCAUCAUGAAGGCCGAGUCAUUAGUGCGCCGACGGAUCGUUAAUGCAGAGACGGAUCAUUAGGGGGCACCGGCUCUUUGUCCCUAUUGAACAGGGAAGUAUUAUUUUCACACCUGAGUGUCAUUCAUCUUCGUGGCGGUGAACGGCACAAUGGAGCUAAAAAAAAAAAAAAAAGGCCGUUGUCUCUUAUCUCGGUGUGAUACAGCGGGGGGUUGAAGCCUUGGUGGUGGUCACAGAUGAUUAUUUUCAGGAGGGCUUAGCCUACAUGGUCUCAACCACAUGUGGCUGCUCAUUGCGUCUUUUAGACUUUCGACGAUUCACGCUGCUGUUCUGUUGGAUUUUAUUGGAUUUUAUUGCAAUUACACAAUUUACUUUGCAGAACUUAACAGUUCUCAGCAUUAUGCCCCCCCCCCCACCCCCCACAGCACAAGCCACACCAUUAAAUGAGUUUGUCUUGGAUCAUGUGCUAGCUAAUGAUCCCCUUUGUUACCUCCUGUUUAGUGCAACGUGAUUGUAGGGAGGUGAGGGAGUCACACAGUUUUGAAAUCAGACUAUAAGUUGUCCUGCAUAUUGCGGACUGUUAUAUCUCUAAGAGCUAUGGACAGACCCCCCACUGGGCUUGAACUUUUCCCAGCCAGCUGUCUUUUUUUAUAAUAUCCAAUGGAAUCAAUAGGGUUGCCAUGCAGUCACUCCCUUCCUCAUCAUUUGUUUUUUUCAUCCAUUUUGAACUCACCAAACUGUUUUUCUGUAAAAUGCAUCCGUGCACGACUGUCCUAAAUCUACUAUUUGAAGGUAUUGGAAGCAUUUUUCUCUUCUCUUAUUCUCGGAACUGUGACAAACACAGAAGUUGCUCCUUUUACCUUCCGUUUCAAAAACGUAAAAUAAAAUAAACCGGACUGGUUCCUUCACUGUGUAGCCUGGUAAAUAGCCCCCCCCGACCCCCCCCGAAAGGGUUGCCUGGGGCUGCAAGCCAUUCACACGGCGGAAGAGUUUGAAAAAGCCUGUUUGUGACUCAUUGAAAUCACAGCUCCAUCCUGCACGGAGCCGUAGCGUCGACUCUCAGGGGGGCGGAAACAAUAAAAAGGGCACCAGGUGUGUGCCCUGGGGCACCAGUGGGCCCGAGAGCUCCCCAUCAUGUAGGGCAGCCUUAAUGUCACUACAUCAUUUCUCCAUCUGAGGGCCACCGCAUGGGCCGCCUCAUCAUAUUUCCUCGACUGGAAGAGCAUCUCAUCCCAGUUCCCCCACUGGUUAAUGCACUCUAAAGGGCAACAUCCCGUUGUCCACCUUGGAAGGGCCCCCCCCCCCCAUGAAAUGGCCUUCAUGAUGUUUUCUCCACCAGAAAGGACCUUUAGAGGGAGUUCAUCACACCUUGUGUUCUAGCAGAGUAUAUUGGAGGGCACUCUGGCAAUAGUAUCUACUAGGGUCACCCGAGCAUCAACUUGUACUGCCCCCCCCCCCAUCCGUGUUUUACAAUGAUUUAAAGCAGUGGACUUCCAAAGUGCCCCCUGUUGGCUCGGUGGUCCUCUGCUGGUGAAUGUAUCGGUCCAGCAUGGGAUGUGUGUACGGCCCCACACACACACACACACACACACACACACACACACACCCUGGUCCUUCAUCCAGGCGUGGAGUUGAGUAAUGAGGGGUUUUAGUGGAGGGGACAGCUCACCUUCUUACCAACCCUUCUCAAGGAGACUUUUGAUCAUUGUUGUCAGCCACAGCUAAGCGCGUUAAAUGGAGGCCGCACCAUCCGGGGCUGCGUGCGUGUAACGUAAGAUGGAGGGAAAUGUGUGCACGUGUGAUCGGGAAGUAAACGGAGCGUAAGUCCACGUCUCUCUCUCUCUCUGUGUGUGUGUGAGAAACAGAUGUGUGCCUCUGGACGUCUACACUGGUGUGUGAGAGUGGUCAUCCCAAACAUCUGUCUCCCGUUACCAUUCGGACGGACCCACUGAUAGACGUAUAAUGGACUUUCCUCCCCUCGUUUGUGUGUGUGUGUGUGUGCACACGUGUGUGUGAAGGGGGCAUUUAGCAGCCAAUCAAUCACCAGCUGUCACACGGGUACGUGUGGGGGAACAGUGUCAGCAAAGGUGACACACACACACACACACGUAGACAAAUGCAGAGGUUAUUUAGGCAUUCAGGUAUCUCGGGGCUUCAUCGGUGUAAUCUUGAGUUUACUCAAGUUCACUCCCGGCGGCGCAACAACCAUCACAUGGCCGUGACACGUUGUCGGAGUACGUGCCAGCAGGUCAGUCUCAUCCGUCUUCUUUAGUGAACACAAAUCGCUCACAAUCAAUCGACAGGUACGGCGGCGAAAAGAAUGAUGGAACUACUUAAAUACGAGCUCAGAUGUCUCAACGCGGCCUCUCUCUGGAUGAUCAGUCUCCAUGUUUCUUCGCAGACGCAAUUAACGGGUUUCUGCCACCGUAUUUCAUUGGAUAAACUUGUUGAAUGUGCUGCAUUACUAAAAUGAAAGGACGCAUCAAGUGAUAAAGUAUUCAGAUCCCGUUCUCUCUGCGUCAAUAAGCCAACGCUUUGUAUGUCAUAACAAAGUCAUCUUUGGAACCAGCACACUGUUGUAUUUCCGGCUCCUUUAUCGCCUGUUGGCGGCGGAGAAGAACUCAUGAACGGACUUUCAGCCGGUCGCAUACUGACUCGUGACCUUGGUACCAAACAAAGUAAAAACCAAGUGGUUUGGCAAAAAUAUCCCUUUACUGUCCGGAAAGAAUUCUGCCCUCUGAGUCAACGUCCCGCCACAAUAAAAGCCUCUGCCGGACGCGCUGUUUGUUUGCUCUUAGUUCCGAAGCAGCCAGCGAGGGCACACAAGUGCGAACGCCUGCGGAAUUAUGCCUGUUAUCUGUGUACGCGUGUGCACGUGGGAUGAUGCGUGCAUGUGGGAUAACCCGCUUCAAACCUCUCUGUGUAAACAGACGGCCACUUUGACCUGAAGAGUUGUUUACUCACAGAAUUAAAGAGAUUAAAACUGACUCAGUGAAACCCGCGAACUGCACGAUAAGUGUGGAUUAAAAUGCUAAAAUUCACAAAGAGACACGCUUGAGUGAAGCCGCGCAUGCCGACAGAGGGAUGUGAUCCUUUUCACGAAGCAAAAAAGGAGGAGAGUACAGACAAAAGCGCUUUGUUAAAUAUGACAGAAUGAUAAAUAAGGCCAUCUUUUCACAAGGAGACAGAACCAAGUUUAUAUCUCCAGAAAACUGUAUGAAGGCAUCACGUUUUUGUAAUGUACAAAAAAAACAGAUGUUCCUCUCCAGACAUUCACAUGAAUCACUGAUGGAUUAUGUGGCACAACGCUGGUGAACGUGUCUACGUGUGUGCAGAUUGGAUGAAACGUCUUCAUCUCAUUACGCAGUUAGAACUCCAGAUACCAAAGUUAUGUCAGAAAGCUCCGAAAGGUGACUGCUUCCUAUUAUCUGCUCCUCAGCCACACAACACACGUUACAAAUCAUUAAACGAAUAAGAAGAAGAAAGCAAUUAAAUGGGCCCUACAUGGUGUCAGGGAACAAGCAUUUAAAGGUCAAAGGUUACCGACCUCCAAUUCUGCACAGCAAUUUUCUAAAGUUAAACACAAAUGGUUUGAAGGAACAGAUAAUAUCUCGCAAACUUCGUAACCCACUGAAAAGAAUGAGGCAGAGAUGAAAAAAAUAGGCGAGUCUUUACCCCAAAAGAGGGCGAGGACGCCCUUUGACUGAGUCAACUGGGUCCCACCGGACACACGAGCUCACUGAUGAGCCGCUGUCAAAUGUGAGCAAAACAACCCAUAAUAUAUUUGUUGUGACAAGGGACGGGACAAAUGCUAAUUUGCAGACACCGCGGAGGAUUGAGUCUGUGAACAAGCGCGAGAUUGACUGCGCGGUUAGCUGAGAGAAGUCACUGCAGGAACGAUUCAAAGGAACAAACAAAUGGGAACAAAACAGGAAGGGAAGCGCGCGGCGGUGACAGAGGUGUGUGUGUGUGUGUGUGUGUGUGUGUGUGUCUGUGUGUGUGAGAGGUCAGGUCCGGGUGAGGAGUGCAUCAAUAAGAUUUCAUGCACACUUCACAGUACACACUCAUUUCCUGUUUCCUAACCCCCGACCAGCUGUUGCAGAUGUGCAGCACGGUAAAAUGUCACAUUCUCCUGUGGACAUUUGUUUCUCAUGAUGCAAAUAUCGGAGCGUGCACACACAGACACACACUCACUGCGGCUGUUUCACACUCAAAAUAGCCUUUUCAUUAUUCAGGGGUUGAGUCCGGGGGGGUUUAAUAGGAAGCCGUUGAAGUGUGUCCAUGAACGUGUGCACAUGUGGGUCCCCCCCCCCAAGGACAUGCGGCUCAGAUGUGAGCUCCUUUCUUUCUUCUUAGUGGCUCCACACAUCCACGCCAUUAACCACUGUGGAGGGACAGCGGCAACGAGUGGAGGCAAACUGUUGCGUGUUUGUGCGUUGCUGCUCGAUAACACGCGACUGGGUACGGUUUCAUUUGCAGCCGAGAGGCGUCUAAUAGCACGUAUCCGAAACGCUUUCCGGGCCUUUUCUUAAUCUCGCUUGAUAAACGAGCCGCGCUCUGAGGGAAAGAGCACUUUCUGAAGCCCCCAUAAGCCCUCUAAACAGAUUACAAAGACUUAUGGGUAAAUAGAGGCAGCGGAGGUGAAAAAAAAAGAAAAAAAAAAGAAAGUGAACGUCCUUUUUAACGGAGCUUCCUGGAAGCCGAGCGCGCUAAUGUGACGCAACUGCUUCUCUUCCCGUCACUCGCUGAUGAGAAAUAAAUGAAUGAGAUUAAGGUUGUAACGGGCCCGCGCGUGUGUGUGUGUGUGUGUGUGUGUGUGUGUGUGUGUGUGUGUGUGUGUGUGUGUGAAAGUGAUUUCAUGGAACUCGUGCUUGGAGCUGUGUGGUUGGUACCAGGUGGGGGUUCUUCUGAGGAGGACACGCAGUGCGCACACUCACAGACACACACACACACACACACACACACAGGGGAUGCUUACAGGUCUCCUCUUCACGCAUUGGGGUAAUUCUGAAGUCUUUCUUAAUGGGGGAAAUACAGCUGCAGACUUGGACUCGAGUCACAGGUGAAAACCACAGACUCCACUUGGACCACAAUAUGGAGGCUGUUGCCGUGGUAACCACAGGGAUCUGAAUAAACAAUAGAAGGCUCCGAGAUGGUUGCAUUUUACAUUAUUAUAUUAUUUUAUUUCACGCCAGUUUCUAUAAUUUUAUUUUAUUUUUUGAAUCAUUUUGUCUUUUCAUAUUUCAGUUGUCGCCACAGAUGUUUCUUCACGUGAAAGACGCAGCAGCAGCAUAAAGCACACUGCAAGGAGACAGAGAGGAAGUGGAUUAACUUCAAUCCCUGUUUAAGUUUGGUUCAUUGUUACAAAUCAUCACUAUACAAAACCCGGUAAACACACGCACAAACACACACAGAAGCCACACAGCCCCGAGACGACUGUGUGGUUUGAUGGGAAAAUGAAAGCAGAGAAAUGAAUUCCUCCGUUGUCCCGCGGGUGAGUAAACAUCACUGUGAUUGCCUGUAAUGUCCUGAUCUGAGUAUUAUUAGUAUUCCUGUUCCGCACACAUACAACUCUGAUACCUGUAGUGACCCGCAGCCCUCAUUUCAUUCAGCUUCCCGCCAGCCAGCUUCUGCUGAGAGUCGAAUGAAGCAAAUAGAGAUCGAUGUGAAUGCAAAUCCCUCUGCCAACUUUUCUCUCUAAAUGGCUGAUUCGGCACUUCAGAAAUUGCUAACGAGAGAUUGAUCUGAUGCUGAAACGGAGCUGAGAGUCCUUUUAAAAGAGUCUUUGAUGGUCCCGGAUCAAAAAAAAUCAUAAAAAUACCUUAAAGGGCCAGUUUGCCUGUUGUGCUGUGUGAGCUGCUCAUCAGUCAGUGUGUUUUCCACAGCAGCACCAAAUAAAAGAAGCAUCCCGGGUCGUCGGGACAGAACCAAAAAGCACAGGGACCCGUCUCCCUCCCUCACACCCGCCCAUAAUAUCGACUGGAUGAUGUCAUCGCUACGGCGAUGGGAUCCACUUUGUUGCCACGGGUAACUCAUUUAGAGACACAUUACUACGGACGGAUGGAGGGAUGAAUGGAUUGAAGAGGGGAGGCAGGGUGAUGGUGGAGGGAGGGAGGAGGGUGACGGAGGCGGGGGAGAAGGGAGGGAAGGGAAGAGUUUUUGGUGAGAGAUUGAUGGAGAGGGGAAGAGAAGAGCGAUAGAAAGAAGGUUGAGAGAAGGGAAAACAAAAACAGGCCGGGAGGAAGAGAUGAAACACGACGGGGGGGCGGAGGGGGCGGAGCCACGUAAACUCAUUACAAGAGUUCCUGCACUCUCUCUGCCUCCGCCCGCAUCCACCCAUCCGCCUCCGCUGCCGGUCAGCGGCUCAAUCUCCAACACUUUUCCCGGAAUGGAAGCGUGAUGUUUUCCCGCCGGUGGCGAGCGGCUCGGCUUCCCGCAGGCUCUUUAAAGCGAAACCCGAUACGUGGACAUCCAAUCGGAAAGCUUUUAACUAGCAGCGCCGCGGGUGGCCAGGUGGGUAAAGUAUUUAGCAGUCAGGACACUCGGAGAGUGUGUGUGUGUGUGUGUGUGUGUGUGUGUGUGUGUGUGUGUGUGUGUGUGUGUGUGUGUGUGUGUGUGUAGGGGGGGUAAAGUAUUUAGUGGUCAGUAAACUCCCAUGACCUCUUCAGUGUAAGUGAAUCCAAGUGUUUUUGUGUCUUCAGGAGACGUCUCGCACCAAGGACAUGUCUCAUAUACAGAUACAUGUACAUACAUGCUUUAAUGGGGCUCUGUAGAUUUUAACUACUCUGACAUGUGCUGUUUUUCUAUAUGCAGAUGUGAGACACGUGCUGUAGUUCCAUAUGCAGAUGUGAGACACGUGCUGUAGUUUCAUAUGCAGAUGUGAGACAUGUGCUGUAGUUCCAUAUGCAGAUGUGAGACAUGUGCUGUAGUUCCAUAUGCAGAUGUGAGAUACGUGCUGUAGUUCCAUAUGCAGAUGUGAGACACG
ensembl:lncRNA